UCCUUUUCCUCCUUGGCCGCUUCUGUGGCUCAAAUUCAGCUUCAGCGGAUGCCACCUACGCGGCCCUUAGUUCGCAUACGCGGAAAUACCAGGUGACAGACCCCCAAAUCUGAAGCAAACUCCAAAAUUCCUCGUUUAACCAUCCGGAAUCACCCCGGGGCCCCCGCGACCCCAACCAACACCACCAACCUACUCCAAAACAUCAUACGUGCUCCAAUCAUAGAAACACGUCCUUAAACACAAAAAUCAUCAAAUCAUGGCGGAUUCAAGCCUAAGUUUCACCUAUAACUUCCGAAACUAGCAUUCGAUCAAAACCCAACCAAAUGACGUCCGAAUGACCUGAAAAUUUGCAGACAUGACCAAAAUCACCUAACGAAGCUGCUGCAACUCUCGGAAUUCCAUUCCGACCCUCGUAUAAAAUUCUCAUUUAUCAACCAGAAUUCGCCAAAAUUCAACUUAGCUAAUUCAAGCCUAAUUCUACACCGGACUUUCAAAUUCAAUUCCGAUUUCGGUCCCAAGUCAUAAAUUACCAUCCAAAACUAGUCGAAUCAUCGAAAAUACAUUCCGAACUCUCUAACUCACAAGUACAACGUCCGAUUGACUUUUCCAACUUAAGCUUUCCUUAAAGAGACUAUUGGUCUCCUUUCUAACCAAAUUCAACCCAACUCACUUAAAACUCACCAAACACAUAUAUCAACACACGGGGAAGCAUAAUACGGGGAUAACAGGGCUGAAAUACAA
rnacentral:lncRNA from 1 species